GCCAUUUUUUCUUCAUGUCAUUGAGCACCUAAAUCUGUAUUUUUGUUCCCAAAUGAUGGGUCAUUAGUCUCUUUAUCCAUCGUUGACAAAUAAGACAUUUAGAGUUUUUUUUCUCAAAAAAAAAUUAAAUACACCAUAAGUUUCUAUCCUCUUUAUAAAUUUAAAAUUUAGUGGCUCAAAUUCGUCCGGCCCAGACCCAAACAAAACAAAACUAAAAAAUAAAAAAUAAUAUUAAUCUCAAAUUCCACUUACAAAAAACAAAUUGGCCCAAAUAACAAGCUCAAACCAAAACUACCCUAACCCAAACCUGCAAAACCCAAUAACCCAGCAGCCCAAAAGCUCAAAACCUAAAAAAUUUCAGAAACCCUAGCUCCCUCUCUCACCGCAGCCUCGUCACGUCAGCAGACGUGCCGUCUAACACCUCCUCCGCCACCACUGCCAUUGACUUUGUCACCACCACCUACAAAAAAAGAAAAGAAGACAAAAAAAAUAGAGGACAAGAAGUAAAAGCAGGGAAACAGCAAAAAAAAAAAGAAAGAAAAAAAAUAAAAAAUCUAUAUUCAACUAGAAAAGCCAAACAAAAACACUAUAU
rnacentral:lncRNA from 1 species